UACUCUUGUUAUGGUUAACAAGAGUACAAAGUCACAUGUUCCUGCGGGGCCCGUGGUGGAUGAGAUGGUAAAGAAAUAUGGUCCUGCCUGUUUUUUUUUUUUUCUUUUUCUAACCGCUCU